CGGCGGACGGGUGAGUAACGCGUAGGAAUCUACCUGGUAGUGGGGGACAACUUGUGGAAACGCAAGCUAAUACCGCAUACGCCCUAUGGGGGAAAGCGGGGGAUCUUCGGACCUCGCGCUAUUGGAUGAGCCUGCGUAAGAUUAGCUAGUUGGUGGGGUAAAAGCUCACCAAGGCGACGAUCUUUAGCUGGUCUGAGAGGAUGAUCAGCCACACUGGAACUGAGACACGGUCCAG
rnacentral:rRNA from 1 species